GGAAAGCAGAAAGGGAGGCUAAGAGGAAGAAAAUCUUUUAUGUAAGGCGUGAAGAGGAGAGGAUUAGAAUAUUACGUGAAGAGGAGGAAGCACGCAAGCGUGAAGAGUCCGAGAGGAAAAAGAGAGAAGAAGCUGAACGCAAGGCUAAAUUGGAUGAAAUUGCUGAGAAGCAGAGACAAAGGGAGCGAGAAUUGGAAGAAAAGGAAAGACUGCGGAAAGAAAUGCUCUUUGGUGGUGGCAGAUCAACUGAUCCGCCUGCUAGACCUGAUGUUGCUACCGGUUCUCAGCCUCUGGAGUCUGGAACCGCUGCUCCUGCUGCAGCAGCCGCCGCCGCCUCCGCCACAUCUCCAGCAAAAUACGUGCCAAGGUUUCGACGGACAGAAGGCUCUAGCCCUAAUGCACCACCACCUGAAUCCGAUCGAUGGGGAAGCAGCAGGCCUAAUAAUCGACCAUCUCAACCGGAUAGCUGGCGCAGUGAUGACCGUAGACCGGCUCUUGGAAGUUCAAGGUCGUCAUGGUCCUCAUCCCGAGCUUCUACUCGUUCUAGCACGGACCGUUGAUUGUGGUUAGCAAGUCUGGCAAAGUUGUUAUGAAUUUGG
rnacentral:misc_RNA from 1 species